UUCCUACGGGAGGCAGCAGUGGGGAAUAUUGCACAAUGGGCGAAAGCCUGAUGCAGCAACGCCGCGUGAGGGAUGACGGCCUUCGGGUUGUAAACCUCUUUUAGCAGGGAAGAAGCGAAAGUGACGGUACCUGCAGAAAAAGCGCCGGCUAACUACGUGCCAGCAGCCGCGGUAAUACGUAGGGCGCAAGCGUUAUCCGGAAUUAUUGGGCGUAAAGAGCUCGUAGGCGGUUUGUCGCGUCUGCUGUGAAAACCCGAGGCUCAACCUCGGGCCUGCAGUGGGUACGGGCAGACUAGAGUGCGGUAGGGGAGAUUGGAAUUCCUGGUGUAGCGGUGGAAUGCGCAGAUAUCAGGAGGAACACCGAUGGCGAAGGCAGAUCUCUGGGCCGUAACUGACGCUGAGGAGCGAAAGGGUGGGGAGCAAACAGGCUUAGACACCCUGGUAGUCCACCCCGUAAACGUUGGGAACUAGUUGUGGGGUCCAUUCCACGGAUUCCGUGACGCAGCUAACGCAUUAAGUUCCCCGCCUGGGGAGUACGGCCGCAAGGCUAAAACUCAAAGGAAUUGACGGGGACCCGCACAAGCGGCGGAGCAUGCGGAUUAAUUCGAUGCAACGCGAAGAACCUUACCAAGGCUUGACAUAUACGAGAACGGGCCAGAAAUGGUCAACUCUUUGGACACUCGUAAACAGGUGGUGCAUGGUUGUCGUCAGCUC
rnacentral:rRNA from 1 species